UGGCUGGGGCAGAAGUGAAAACAUCAGGAAAUGCGAAGGACUGUGCCUUGGAGGGCGAGCUGAUAACAGGCAUACAGGCUGGCCAGAGAAGUCAGAUAUGAUGGGCUACAGACCGUCAGCCAGCACUGUGCAGGAAGAUGUCAUGAAUCAGAAUAUGCAAACAGCCAAAUGAUGGACACAUCGGCUUAGAGCAUCGAGAGGCAGAACAUCGAGACUCUGACAAUGUUCAAUUCGACAUUCUACUUUUAGCCGUAUGGCCACAUGAUUUGAAAGUGAAAUUUUCAAAUGUAGAUCUGAGAUACGACUAUAGCUCAUCUCCAAGAAAGGCAUCACCAUUGCUGCAUUGAACAUGCACAGAGAUGAAACAGAGAUUGGCUUCUGAAGAUGACGUUUCUGCCCUGACAGUUUUAGAAGUGCCAUAGAAACCAGCGUGCAGUGAAGUUGACUGUUGUCAGGAUAGCCCUUAUCUAGCCUGUUACAACUCUGUGGCAUUGAAUAUUUACUGCUGAAUGGAUUCAGGGAAGCCAAACAUAAAUGUGUACUCAGUGUUUAAAAGGAAAUAAAAUAAGCAGAAUGAUUAUGGAAAAUAAGAAA